rnacentral:rRNA from 1 species
UUUUCUAGUAUUUGGCGUUCUCAUGUGCCUCCGAAAAUCAAAAUCUUCCUCUGGCAGGCCUUCAGAGGCCGUCUCCCCGCGGCUGACCAAAUCCGUAAGAGGAAUGGACCUGGCUCGGAGUUUUGUGCUCUUUGUGGUGUCUUGGAGAACACGAAUCAUAUUUUCUUUCAUUGUGUGCUUGCUAAACUUGUAUGGAGCUGUUUCAGAUCCUGGCUCCAGGUUACUUGGGAUCCCUCCUCCUUUAUUGAGCUGAGAAGCCUUGCCAACUCGUUGGCUGGUGUGACAAAGAGGGUCUUCUAG